UUCUCAUCCUAAACACAAUGGAGUUUUUUCUCUAUGAACUACUUCCCUGGAGAGCUCGUCUCUCCAGUGGACAUAAACACAAACAAUAUUUUGUAUUAUGAAAAACUAUUAUACUAUAAAAUUUAAUAUUCAAAACUUUCAACAACGGAUCUCUUGGUUCUCGCAUCGAUGAAGAACGCAGCGAAUUGCGAUAUGUAUUGUGAAUUGCAGAUUUUCGUGAAUCAUCAAAUCUUUGAACGCACAUUGCGCCCUCUGGUAUUCCAGGGGGCAUGCCUGUUUGAGCGUCAUUUCUCUCUCAAACCUUUGGGUUUGGUAGUGAGUGAUACUCGUCUCGGGUUAACUUGAAAGUGGCUAGCCGUUGCCAUCUGCGUGAGCAGGGCUGCGUGUCAAGUCUAUGGACU
rnacentral:rRNA from 1 species